rnacentral:rRNA from 1 species
AGUUUGAUCCUGGCUCAGAUUGAACGCUGGCGGCAUGCCUUACACAUGCAAGUCGAACGGCAGCACGGGAGCAAUCCUGGUGGCGAGUGGCGAACGGGUGAGUAAUAUAUCGGAACGUGCCCAGUCGUGGGGGAUAACGCAGCGAAAGCUGUGCUAAUACCGCAUACGAUCUACGGAUGAAAGCGGGGGAUCGCAAGACCUCGCGCGAUUGGAGCGGCCGAUAUCAGAUUAGCUAGUUGGUGGGGUAAAGGCCCACCAAGGCGACGAUCUGUAGCUGGUCUGAGAGGACGACCAGCCACACUGGAACUGAGACACGGUCCAGACUCCUACGGGAGGCAGCAGUGGGGAAUUUUGGACAAUGGGCGCAAGCCUGAUCCAGCAAUGCCGCGUGCAGGAUGAAGGCCUUCGGGUUGUAAACUGCUUUUGUACGGAACGAAACGGUAAGCUCUAAUAAAGUUUGCUAAUGACGGUACCGUAAGAAUAAGCACCGGCUAACUACGUGCCAGCAGCCGCGGUAAUACGUAGGGUGCGAGCGUUAAUCGGAAUUACUGGGCGUAAAGCGUGCGCAGGCGGUUAUAUAAGACAGAUGUGAAAUCCCCGGGCUCAACCUGAGACCUGCAUUUGUGACUGUAUAGCUAGAGUACGGUAG